GAUGAACGCUAGCGAUAGGCCUAACACAUGCAAGUCGAGGGGCAUCACAUGAAGUAGCAAUACGGAUGGUGGCGACCGGCGCACGGGUGAGUAACACGUAUGCAACCUGCCUUCAACAAGGGGAUAACCCGUUGAAAGACGGACUAAUACCCUAUAACACAGGGGUCCCGCAUGGGAAUAUUUGUUAAAGGACAACCGGUUGAAGAUGGGCAUGCGUUCCAUUAGCUAGUUGGCGGGGUAAGGGCCCACCAAGGCAACGAUGGAUAGGGGAACUGAGAGGUUUAUUCCCCACACUGGUACUGAGACACGGACCAGACUCCUACGGGAGGCAGCAGUGAGGAAUAUUGGUCAAUGGACGCAAGUCUGAACCAGCCACGUCGCGUGAAGGAAGACGGCCCU
rnacentral:rRNA from 1 species